rnacentral:rRNA from 1 species
CCUACGGGAGGCAGCAGUGAGGAAUAUUGGUCAAUGGACGAGAGUCUGAACCAGCCAAGUAGCGUGAAGGAUGACUGCCCUAUGGGUUGUAAACUUCUUUUAUAUGGGAAUAAAAUGUUCCACGUGUGGGAUUUUGUAUGUACCAUAUGAAUAAGGAUCGGCUAACUCCGUGCCAGCAGCCGCGGUAAUACGGAGGAUCCGAGCGUUAUCCGGAUUCAUUGGGUUUAAAGGGAGCGUAGGUGGAUUGUUAAGUCAGUUGUGAAAGUUUGCGGCUCAACCGUAAAAUUGCAGUUGAAACUGGCAGUCGUGAGUACAGUAGAGGUGGGCGGAAUUCGUGGUGUAGCGGUGAAAUGCUUAGAUAUCACGAAGAACUCCGAUUGCGAAGGCAGCUCACUGGACUGCAACUGACACUGAGGCUCGAAAGUGUGGGUAUCAAACAGGAUUAGAUACCCGAGUAGUC